UGUGCUACUAUGACCUCAUAUACAUCAGGUCAAAGUGCAGCUAAUAAGAAGGUGAUGAUGGGUUACAACCCUAAAAAAGACUAUCAACUAAGAAAUAAAAAAUCUUUAAAAAGUGGACUUGGCCGUAAUUAAUUUACAAGUUAGAAAAAUGAAUAAAACUCUAAGACAUGUACACAUCGCCCGUCACUCUAUCCUAAAGGCUAGAUAAGUCG
rnacentral:rRNA from 1 species